AAUAUUGGACAUGAGCGAGCUGAUCCAGCCAUGCCGCGUGUGUGAGAGGCCCUAGGGUUGUAAGCACUUUCAGUGGGGAGAAAAGUGAUUCACCUAAUACGUGAGUUAAUUGAUGUUACCCACAGAAGAAGCACCGGCUAACUCCGUGCCAGCAGCCGCGGUAAUACGGAGGG
rnacentral:rRNA from 1 species